rnacentral:rRNA from 1 species
AUGGCAGGGACGGCGGUGAGCAUGGCGAGGUCCAUGCUGGGGGGUGCCAUCUGCAAGGCCGCCUCCGCCGCCGCCGCCGAGAUGAGCUUGUUGAUGGGACGACACCAACUGUUGUCCUACAUUUCUUAUGCAUAUUUGUUUGGCAGGUUCAUUAAAGAUGAGCUAGAGACGAUGCAGGCAUUUCUGCUGACUGCUGAAGCGAUUAAGAUGAAAGACAUUCUGCUGAAGGUGUGGGCGAAGCAGGUCAGAGACUUAUCAUACAAUAUUGAAGAUUGCCUUAGUGAAUUCAUGGUGCAUGUGAGAAGCCAAAGCUUGUCGCGGAGGCUGAUGAAGCUCAAAGACCGCCAUCAGAUCGCCAUGCAGAUCCGUGACCUCAAACUCAGAGUUGAAUUAGUAAGCAUUAGGAAUACACGCUACAACUUGAUCAAGACGGAGGCCUCCAACAACAUUGGGGAGGUGGAUUCCUACAGCGAAGAUGUCCGCAAUCACGCGGCUAGCAACAUUGAUGAAGCAGAACUUGUGGGCUUUUCCAAGCCUAGGGAGGAGUUGAUAAACCUGAUGGAUGUCAACACUGAAGAUGAUUUUCCUAAGGUGAUAUGUGUUGUCGGCAUGGGUGGUUUAGGAAAGACUACUAUUGCAAGGAAGACAUAUGAAAGUAAGGAAGAUAUUGUGCAGAAAUUUUCUUGUGUUGCUUGGGUCAUAGUAUCACAUUCGAUUUUCAAGGUAGAGAUGCUCAAGGGUAUGAUCGGGCAGCUUUUGGGACAUGAGUCACUGAAGAAAUGCUUGGAAGAACUUAAAGGCAAGGCAGUGCAAGUGGAUGACCUCUCCAAGUACCUCAUGGAAGAGCUCAAGGAUAAAAGGUAUUUUAUUGUUUUUGAUGACUUGUGGACCAUAGAUAUGUGGAGGUGGAUCAAAGAAUUAGCUUUUCCUAGCAGUAACAAGAAAGGUGGCGUCCUUGCCACAAAAAAGGUAGCUGAGUGGACACAAUUUUAUAAUCAUCUCCCUUCAGAGCUUGAGACUAAUCCAAGCCUUGAAGCAAUGAGGAGGAUGGUUACUCUGAGCUACAACUACCUACCAUCUCAUCUAAAGUCAUGCUUUUUGUACCUAAGCAUCUUUCCCGAGGAUUUUGAAAUUAAGAGGAGGUCUCUAGUAGAUAGAUGGAUAGCUGAGGGGUUCAUCAUCGCUAGGGGCAGGGUAAACAUUGAGGAUAUUGGAAAAUUUUAUUUCAUUGAGCUAAUCAACCGAAACAUGAUUAUACCAUCAAGAGUGAAUGUGGAAGGAACAGUUAAGAGCUGUCGAGUCCAUGAUGUCAUGCGUGAUGUCAUGAUCUCAAUUGCUAGAGAUGAAAAUUUUGUGUACUUGUCCACCGACGAUAAUGUAAAUAGUGUAGCAGAGGAGAACUUUCGUCAUGUAUCAUACCAUGGUAGAAAGUGCCUCAAGGAAUGCAUAGAUUGGAGGCAUGUCCGGUCAUUAAGCAUGUUUGGUGAGAAACCCAUAGUGCCACCUGCUCCCCUGUUUCCACCUAGCAUGAGAAUGCUUAGAGCCCUGGAUGUACAUAGUGCACAUUUUGGAAUCACACAAAAAGAUAUCAAGGACAUAGGAGUGUUACGCCACUUGAAGUAUUUGAAUAUUGGGAGUGUUAAUGCACAUCCAUAUAUUUAUAGAAUUCCAAGAUCUAUAGGAAUAUUAGAAGGCUUGCAGACUUUGGAGAUAAGAAUCACAGAUGUAUCAGCGAUACCAAAUGAGAUUUGUAACCUUGUGAGUCUCCGUAGCAUCCGGUGUAGAAAAACAUAUUGGUUGUAUUAUAUUGGUGAGCCCUCUAUGGGAUGUUUGAUGGACAUGAUGUAUCAUCAGAUGAUUACUUGUAAUUCUCAUGAAAAAGCAUUGAAGCCACGCAUGCCUUGCUUUAGGCAUUGGUCAAUAUACAAAGGUGUAAGUGUGCCGAGAGGGAUUAGCAAGUUACAAGAGUUACAAACACUAGAGGUUGUGGACAUCAAACGGAGUGAUGCCAAUGCAAUUAAAGAGCUAGGUGAGCUUGUGCAGCUAAAAAAACUUGGGGUGGUAACGAAAGAGGCCACCGAGCAAAAAUGCAAGCUACUUUGUGCAGCUAUCGAGAAGUUCACUUCCCUAUGCUCUCUUAACGUGGAUGCUGACCAACAUGGCUCUCUUGAGUGGCUGCAUUCUGUGUCAUAUCCUCCCCUACUCAUGAGGAGCCUCAAGCUGGUUGGACGUCUUGGAGAAAUGCCAGACUGGAUUGGAAGUUUGACACAUUUAGUGAAGAUUUAUCUAGGGCAUAGCGAGCUGAAAGGUGAGAAAACCAUGAAAUUGUUAGGUGCACUGCCCAGCCUUAUGCUCCUUCGUCUUCGUCAGAGUGCUUAUGUUGGGAAGAGUCUAGUCUUUGGAGCAAGAGCAUUCCCAAAUCUCAGGGAACUAGAUAUUUUUUACCCGGAUCGAGUGAGAGAGGUGAUAUUCGAAGAGGACACCUCGCACCAGCUGGAAAAGAUACAAUUCCGUGGCGGCCGAUGUGUGGAAUUUAUUGGCAUCAAACAUCUCGCAAGGGUCAAGGAGAUUUCACUUGGUUUGGGGGCUAGAGUGGCGAAGCUUGGUGUGCUGCAAGGGGAAGUGGAGGCACACCCCAACCAUCCCCUGCUGCGACUAACAGAGGUCUGGAGAAUGCAUAACAUAGACCCCUCUGUAUAUGAAGCGCGGGAGGAAGGAUUGGCUAAUUUUCGAAGGCAGCAACAGCAGGAGAGAUCCGCUCAUAAUCGCAAGUGGUGGCCAUGGCGACGACGGGCGCAAUCAGAAACUACUCCUAUUGUUGAAGGCAACUGGCAAGGAUCAAAUGGGGCGAAGCUUGGGGAAAAUGCCAUGGACUACCCCACACAAGAUGCUACUACGUACCACAAAGCUGCGUAUGAUGUUAUGCUGCACUUGCACAUCACGUUCAACUUCCUUACAAGUUUCGGGUUGAUUAUUUCCUCUCUGACGUUAUACAGGGGAGAAGAUGUGGAGAUCCAAUACACUGUACUAUACAAGAUGCUACUGCUAAGCUGCUUAUGUUGUUAUUCUGCAAUUGGUCAUCAGGUUGAACCUUGCAAGUUUGCUGCUAGUUACCUCCUGAUGUUUUUACGGUCCAAAUGGAAGAGGAGUGACACAUAUCUUAUGGGUAUCGGUGGAACAGAGGCGAGCAAGAUCUCUGAUCGAAAGUACAAGUGGCAACUACUAGCCCAAAUAAUUGUAAAUUGUUUGGAAAAGAUCAUGGAACGGAUGAUCAAUCUGAUGAGAAGACCUGCAAUUGUGAAUACAUAG